rnacentral:rRNA from 1 species
CCAAACUCCUACGGGAGGCAGCAGUGAGGAAUAUUGGUCAAUGGACGCAAGUCUGAACCAGCCAUGCCGCGUGCAGGAAGACGGCUCUAUGAGUUGUGAACUGCUUUUGUACGAGGGUAAACGCAGAUACGUGUAUCUGCCUGAAAGUAUCGUACGAAUAAGGAUCGGCUAACUCCGUGCCAGCAGCCGCGGUAAUACGGAGGAUCCAAGCGUUAUCCGGAUUUAUUGGGUUUAAAGGGUGCGUAGGCGGUUUAGUAAGUCAGCGGUGAAAUUUUGGUGCUUAACACCAAACGUGCCGUUGAUACUGCUGGGCUAGAGAGUAGUUGCGGUAGGCGGAAUGUAUGGUGUAGCGGUGAAAUGCUUAGAGAUCAUACAGAACACCGAUUGCGAAGGCAGCUUACCAAACUAUAUCUGACGUUGAGGCACGAAAGCGUGGGGAGCAAACAGGAUUAGAUACCCUGGUAGUCCACGCAGUAAACGAUGA